rnacentral:rRNA from 1 species
UCUGGUUGAUCCUGGCAGAGGUUACUGCUAUCGAGGUUCGACUAAGCCAUGCGAGUCGAAUGUAGCAAUACAUGGCGAACUGCUCAGUAACACGUGGACAACCUGCCCUUAGGUUGGGUAUAAACCCGGGAAACUGGGUAUAAUACCCGAUAGGUCUCGAUUGCUGGAAUGCAUCGAGAUUUAAAGCUCCGGCGCCUAAGGAUGGGUCUGCGGCCUAUCAGGUAGUAGUGGGUGUAGCGUACCUACUAGCCUACGACGGGUACGGGUUGUGAGAGCAAGAGCCCGGAGAUGGAUUCUGAGACACGAAUCCAGGCCCUACGGGGUGCAGCAGGCGCGAAAACUUUACAAUGCUGGCAACAGCGAUAAGGGAACCUCGAGUGCCAGGUUACAAAUCUGGCUGUCGAGAUGCCUAAAAAGCAUUUCAUAGCAAGGGCCGGGCAAGACCGGUGCCAGCCGCCGCGGUAACACCGGCGGCUCGAGUGGUAACCGUUAUUAUUGGG